rnacentral:rRNA from 1 species
UACGUAGGGUGCAAGCGUUAAUCGGAAUUACUGGGCGUAAAGCGUGCGCAGGCGGUUUCUUAAGUCAGAGGGGAAAGCCCCGGGCUUAACCUGGGAACUGCGUUUGAAACUGGGAGACUUGAGUGUGGCAGAGGGGGGUGGAAUUCCACGUGUAGCAGUGAAAUGCGUAGAUAUGUGGAGGAACACCGAUGGCGAAGGCAGCCCCCUGGGUUAACACUGACGCUCAUGCACGAAAGCGUGGGGAGCAAACAGG